rnacentral:rRNA from 1 species
UACAGAGGGUGCGAGCGUUAAUCGGAAUUACUGGGCGUAAAGCGUGCGCAGAUGGUUACGUAAGUCGGGUGUGAAAUCCCCGGGCUCAACCUGGGAACUGCGUUUGUGACUGUAUGACUAGAGUACGGUAGAGAGGGGUGGAAUUCCUGGUGUAGCAGUGAAAUGCGUAGAUAUCAGGAGGAACAUCGAUGGCGAAGGCAGCCCCUUGGACCUGUACUGACGCUCAUGCACGAAAGCGUGGGGAGCAAACAGG